UACAAGGGCCAUAAGUACAUCAUUGUUG
rnacentral:sRNA from 1 species